rnacentral:tRNA from 1 species
UAGCUUAACUAAAGCAUUCCGCUUACACCGGAAAAAAGUCUGUUAAAUUCGGACUACCCCGU